UACGUAGGGGUCUAGCGUUGUCCGGAAUUAUUGGGCGUAAAGAGCUCGUAGGCGGUUCGGCAAGUCGGAUGUGAAAUCUCCACGCUUAACGUGGAGGGGCCAUUCGAAACUGCCGUGACUCGAGUCCGGUAGGGGAGUGCGGAAUUCCCGGUGUAGCGGUGAAAUGCGCAGAUAUCGGGAGGAACACCAGUGGCGAAGGCGGCACUCUGGGCCGGAACUCACGCUGAGGAGCGAAAGCGUGGGGAGCGAACAGG
rnacentral:rRNA from 1 species